rnacentral:rRNA from 1 species
AGGAUGACCGCUGGCGGCAUGAUUAAGGCAUGCAAGUCGAACGGUCCACCAUUAGCAAUAAUUGUGGACAGUGGCAAACGGGUGCGUAACACAUUGGUAAUCUACCCCCAAGUCGCGAAUAACUUUUCGAAAGAGAAGCUAAUACGCGAUAAUGAGGCAAGACAUAUGUCUUUUUUCUAAAGAUUUAUCGCUUGGGGAGGAGCCUAUGGCCUAUCAGCUAGUUGGUAGUGUAAAAGACUACCAAGGCUACGACGGGUAGCGGGUGUGAGAGCACGACCCGCCUCACUGGGACUGAGACACGGCCCAGACACCUACGGGUGGCUGCAGUCAUGAAUCUUCGGCAAUGGGCGAAAGCCUGACCGAGCAAUGCCGCGUGAUCGAUGAAGCUCUUCGGGGCGUAAAGAUCUUUUAUCAGGGAAGAACAAAUGACGGUACCUGAUGAAUAAGAGGUUGCAAACUCUGUGCCAGCAGCAGCGGUAAUACAGAGACCUCGAGCGUUAUCCGGAUUUAUUGGGCGUAAAGAGUGCGUAGGCGGCUUGUUAAGUCAACGGUCAAAUUUGGGGGCUCAACCCCUAAACCGCCGUUGAAACUGACAAGCUAGAGUUUGGAAGAGGUAAGCGGAAUUGCUGGUGUAGGGGUAAAAUCCGUUAAUAUCAGCAGGAACACCAAAUGCGAAAGCAGCUUACUGGUACAAUACUGACGCUGUUGCACGAAAGCGUGGGGAUCAAAGAGGAUUAGAUACCCUCGUAGUCCACGCCGUAAACGAUGAUUACUAGACAUUGGAAGUAUCGACCCUUCCAGUGUCGUUUAAAAAAGCUAACGCGUUAAGUAAUCCGCCUGGGAAGUACGGCCGCAAGGCUAAAACUCAAAG